GAUGAAGAACGCAGCGAAAUGCGAUAAGUAAUGUGAAUUGCAGAAUUCAGUGAAUCAUCGAAUCUUUGAACGCACAUUGCGCCCGCUAGUAUUCUGGCGGGCAUGCCUGUCUGAGCGUCAUUUCAACCCUCAAGCAACUUCUGCUUGGUGUUGGGGAUCGGCCGUCAAACGCCGCCCCCGAAAUCUAUUGGCGAUCUCGCUGUAGCUUCCUAUGCGUAGUAGUAACAUCUCGCAUCUGGAGAGCGGCGCGGUCAUGCCGUAAAACACCCAACUUCUCAGGUUGACCUCAGAUCAGGUAGGAAUACCCGCUGAACUUAAGCAUAUCAAUAAGCGGAGGA
rnacentral:misc_RNA from 1 species